ACAUGCCUACAACAUAACGUUAAUGCAGCAGAUCCCAUUAGAAGUUCAUAGUUAAGUACACUUAGGCUAGAGUAGUAUUGGGAUGGGUGACCGCCUGAGAAUUCCUAGUGUUUUACAUGCC
rnacentral:rRNA from 1 species